GACGAACCGUGCGAACGUUGUUCGGAUUCACUGGGCUUAAAGGGCGCGUAGGCGGGCGGCCAAGUCAGGGGUGAAAUCUUUCGGCCCAACCGGAAAAGUGCCCCUGAUACUGGUCGCCUCGAGGGGGGUAGGGGCAUGCGGAACUUCCGGUGGAGCGGUGAAAUGCGCAGAUAUCGGGAGGAACACCAAUGGCGAAGGCAGCUCGCUGGGACGUUACUGACGCUGAGACGCGAAAGCGUGGGGAGCAAACAGG
rnacentral:rRNA from 1 species